GGGUCUCACCAUGUUGGCCAGGCUGGUCUUGAACUCCUGACCUCAGGUGAUCCACCCACCUCGGCCUCUGAAAGUGCUGGGAUUACAAACGUGAGCCAUUGCGCCCAGCCAGUCCGCUUUUUUCUUGAUUGCAAUUCUGUAUGUGCUAUGGAAAUAGUCCUUUGUUGUUUAUACUGCUGCAAAUAUCCUUUCCCUACAACCACCUCAUUUUCCAAGUGGAGAAACUGAGGCUCAGAGAGGCUAAGCCACAUGACCAAGGAACACAUGGCCGGGUCCCUGGGUUUCCAAGCUAGUUUGAGUUCCAGUCUGGCUACUUCCCAGGAGCAAGUCCAUGGGCAAAUUAGCCUCUCUGAGCCUCAAAUUUCCUCACCUGUAAAGGAGAAAAUAUUUAUUACUGUGAAAGAAAAAAAUGUUUGCAAAGAUUUUAGCUUCAAGCCUGGUUCAUACUAAGUGUUCAAGAAAUAAUAGGGCUGGCCGGGUAUGGUGGCUCACACCUAUAGUCACAGCGCUUUGGGAGGCUUAAGGAUCGCUUAAGGCCAGCAUGGGCAACAGAGCAGGGCCCUGUCCCUAUUAAGUUAAAAAGUAAACAAAAAGAACAGGACUAAAAUGUACUGAGGUGUACUCCCCUCACAUCCUUCCAGCUGUGAUGCCUGUGCUCCUUCUCCUCCCUAAGAGAUCAUGGAAGAUGGCAAGCACCCUGCCCACCCUUACAGAGGCCGGGAGAGCAGAUGAUGACUGGCAGAGGACAGGGGAGGAGUCCCUACUCGGCUGCAAACUCUGGAUGAGGGCUGGGGAUUGAGAGCUUCCCAG
rnacentral:lncRNA from 10 species